UCCGCAGGGGGCCGACUAAGUCUGAUGUGAAAUCCUACGGCUCAACCGUAGAAUUGCAUUGGAAACUGGAUGGCUAGAGUGUCGGAGAGGAGAGUGGAAUUCCUGGUGUAGCGGUGGAAUGCGUAGAUAUCAGGAGGAACAUCGAAAGCGAAGGCAGCUCUCUGGACGAUUACUGACCCUCAGGGACGAAAGCGUGGGUAGCAAACA
rnacentral:rRNA from 1 species